GAUGAACGCUGGCGGCGUGCCUAAUACAUGCAAGUCGAGCGAACGGACGAGAAGCUUGCUUCUCUGAUGUUAGCGGCGGACGGGUGAGUAACACGUGGAUAACCUACCUAUAAGACUGGGAUAACUUCGGGAAACCGGAGCUAAUACCGGAUAAUAUAUUGAACCGCAUGGUUCAAUAGUGAAAGACGGUCUUGCUGUCACUUAUAGAUGGAUACGCGCUGCAUUAGCUAGUUGGUAAGGUAACGGCUUACCAAGGCAACGAUGCAUAGCCGACCUGAGAGGGUGAUCGGCCACACUGGAACUGAGACACGGUCCAGACUCCUACGGGAGGCAGCAGUAGGGAAUCUUCCGCAAUGGGCGAAAGCCUGACGGAGCAACGCCGCGUGAGUGAUGAAGGUCUUCGGAUCGUAAAACUCUGUUAUUAGGGAAGAACAUAUGUGUAAGUAACUGUGCACGUCUUGACGGUACCUAAUCAGAAAGCCACGGCUAACUACGUG
rnacentral:rRNA from 1 species